AGGAAAUUUCACUCCACCGAUGUGAAGUUAUCUCUUGUUGCCUCGGCGCAAGCGACCCGGGCCCAGCCCGGGGCGCCCGCCGGCGGACACAUCAAACUCUGUAAUCUUCGUUGAUUAUCUGAGUGUCUUAUUUAAUAAGUCAAAACUUUCAACAACGGAUCUCUUGGUUCUGGCAUCGAUGAAGAACGCAGCGAAAUGCGAUAAGUAAUGUGAAUUGCAGAAUUCAGUGAAUCAUCGAAUCUUUGAACGCACAUUGCGCCCAUUAGUAUUCUAGUGGGCAUGCCUGUUCGAGCGUCAUUUCAACCUCUAAGCACAGCUUACUGUUGGGAAUCUACGUCUGUAGUUCCUCAAAGACAUUGGCGGAGCGGCAGUAGUCCUCUGAGCGUAGUAAUUUUUUAUCUCGCUUCUGUUAGGCGCUGUCGUCCCGGCCGUUUAACCCCCAAUUUUUUCUGGUUGACCUCGGAUCAGGUAGGAAUACCCGCUGAACUUAAGCAUAUCAAUAAGGCCCAGGAAAUAAUACAGAGUUACCAACUCAACAAAGUGAACUUAUCUUUAGUUGCCUCGAGCAGGGAACCGGGCCAGCCCGGGGCGCCCGCGGGCGGACACAUCAAACUUGUUUAUCUUUGUUGAUUAUCUGAGCGGUCUUAUUUUAAUAAGUCAAAACUUUUCAACACGGAUUUCUUGGUUUUGGCAUCUAUUAACAACGCGCAAAUGGCCUAAGAAAAUGUGAAUAUGCCCAAUUAUUGAAUCUCUAAUCUUUGAAAGCCAUGGGCCCAGAAAAUUUUAGGGGGAAUGCCGUUUUAAAGUCAUUUCACCUCAAAACAAUUUAUGGGUGGGAUCCAC
rnacentral:rRNA from 1 species